rnacentral:misc_RNA from 1 species
UACGUGAAUUCAAUACCCUC